AAUUAAAAUUACUAAAUUAUAAAUUAUAUAAACUUUAAGUUAAUGAACUUGUUUAAGUAUAUAUUUUGAAAAUAUAAAAAAGAGAAAAAAUCUCUAUUGACUU
rnacentral:tRNA from 1 species